GGUUAGGUGGCUGAGUUAUAAGCGGUAGAUUGUAAAUUUAUGGACGGGAGUUCUCCCCCUAAUUA
rnacentral:tRNA from 1 species